AUUUGUGACAAUGCCACGUUGAAAGCACGACAUCUCGUCGGGUCUGUCAAGUUAAGCACGUUGGGCCUGGUUAGUACUUGGAUCGGAGACCGCCUGGGAAUCCCAGGUGUUGUAGACA
rnacentral:rRNA from 1 species